rnacentral:rRNA from 1 species
UCAAUACGAAGCCUUUGGUUUUGUAAUUGAAUUGAGAACAAUGUACAAUCGUUAUCGAUAAACAAUUGGAGGGCAAGUCUGGUGCCAGCAGCCGCGGUAAUUCCAGCUCCAAUAGCGUAUAUUAACGUUGUUGCAGUUAAAAAGCUCGUAGUUGAAGUUUAGAUGGUUUGAAGGGGGUGUUAGUAUCAAUGGUACUAUCUGCUCUCUUUGGAUUAUCGACUUCCAGGUAAGUAUAAUGAACCUUUCGGGGUUCGUUAUACCAGACUGGUCUUUUACUGUGAGAAAAUUAGAGUGUUUAAAGCAAACUUUUUUAGUUUGAAUAGAUUAGCAUGGAAUAAUAAGAUUGGCUUUCAUAGUCGAUUUUUUGGUUUGUUUAUGAAAGCAAGAUUAAUAGGGACAGUUGGGGGUAUUCAUAUUCAAUAGCUAGAGGUGAAAUUCUAUGAUUUAUGGAA